rnacentral:lncRNA from 1 species
UAACCCUGGGCUUUCUAGUCUUUCAGAAUCCAGCAGGCUGCAUGAAGACCUGCCCCCUGAUUGACUUGGAGGUGGACAACGGACCUGCGCAGACGGGGACUGUGGUGCCAUCUUUGCUUCAUCAGGACCUGGCAGCCUUGGGAAUCAGUGAUGCUCCUGUUACAGGCACGGUUUCUGGUCAGAAUUGCUGUGAGGAAAAGAGGAAUCCCUCCUCCAGCACGCUGCCAGGCGGUGGUGUUCAGAACCCUUCUGCAGACAGGAAUUUGCUGGACCUCCUCUCACCACAGCCAGCUCCGUGCCCUCUGAAUUAUGUUUCGCAGAAAAGUGUCCCCAAGGAAGUGCCACCAGGUACUAAGUCCUCUCCAGGUUGGUCCUGGGAGGCUGGCCCGUUGGCUCCUUCCCCAUCUUCACAGAAUACACCUCUGGCUCAAGUGUUUGUCCCUUUGGAGUCUGUUAAGCCCAGCAGCCUGCCGCCUCUCAUUGUGUAUGACCGGAAUGGAUUCAGAAUUCUGCUCCACUUCUCCCAGACGGGAGCCCCUGGGCACCCAGAGGUACAGGUGCUGCUCUUGACCAUGAUGAGCACGGCUCCCCAGCCUGUCUGGGAUAUCAUGUUUCAAGUGGCUGUGCCAAA